CCUACUAUAGCGCCAUUAUCUCUAGCCGUUUCUUCUUCCUUCUCUGUUCGGUACUAUCGUACCCGUUCCAAAUGAGUGGUGCCCUCCGUCAGGUUUGACGCUGCAUGGGCCUGCAGUGCGUGCCAGUGCCAUUUCAUUGACUGCUCUCAACCGCCUGGGCGGUCCAGUCCUGUCAAGCUCCGAGAAACUCUGUACGAUCUGCGUCGCAUUGGUGUGCCCCCCCUUUCUGUAAUUUUCCCCUUCGAUCCCGCGGAACCCGCAAUGUCCACUACAGUCGAUGGGCUACGGAGAUCCGUCAGGAUCAAAGAAAAGUUGACUUCACAAGCCAAAAAAUCUUCAAAUGAAAAUGAAGGUGCCCCUGGCAACGCUGAGCGCAAACUACCGGCGGCCAGAGCUACUACUCGCGUUGGUGUAAACGUGGACGGCGUGGUAGAAAUUAUCACCGGUGUUGGGUUACUUCAACUCCAAGAUAGAAAGAAAACAGUCUCGAGGAUGAAGAAACAGAAGAGUCAGGAAAUGAAUGUUGAAGAUGAUGAAAAGGAGUCUACAGGGAGGAAGACUAGGAGUCGUCCCCUGCAAGACGUAUCCAAUGCCGUCAAGAAAAAGACUCAACGAAGUACUCAGUCCUCGCAAGCGAAUAAAAAUGUUGAUUGAAACCUUUUUAUUGCAGAAUUUUUACCUAUUUGUUUUAAACAUUGAAGCAAUAAUGGUUCGUGUGAGGCAGGUAUAUACGAGUUAAUAAACGUGCUCUAGUUGUGA